AUUGAACGCUGGCGGCAGGCUUAACACAUGCAAGUCGAACGAGUGGCGGACGGGUGAGUAAUGCUUGGGAAUCUUGCUUAUGGAGGGGGAUAACUACGGGAAACUGUAGCUAAUACCGCGUACCAUAGGAUGAGCCCAAGUGGGAUGAGGUAGUUGGUGAGGUAAAGGCUAACCAAGCCGACGAUCUCUAGCGGGUCUGAGAGGAGGACCAGCCACACCGGGACUGAGACACGGCCCAGACUCCUACGGGAGGCAGCAGUGGGGAAUAUUGCUCAAUGGGGGCAACCUGACGCAGCCAUGCCGCGUGGAUGAAGAAGGCCUUCGGUUUGUAAAGUUCUUUCGUUAGCGAGGCGUUAACUACAGAAGAAGCACCGGCUGAAUCCGUGCCAGCAGCCGCGGUAAUAA
rnacentral:rRNA from 1 species